AUACGGAGGAUCCGAGCGUUAUCCGGAUUUAUUGGGUUUAAAGGGAGCGUAGGUGGAUUGUUAAGUCAGUUGUGAAAGUUUGCGGCUCAACCGUAAAAUUGCAGUUGAAACUGGCAGUCUUGAGUACAGUAGAGGAGGGCGGAAUUCGUGGUGUAGCGGUGAAAUGCUUAGAUAUCACGAAGAACUCCGAUUGCGAAGGCAGCUCACUAGACUGUUACUGACACUGAUGCUCGAAAGUGUGGGUAUCAAACAGGAUUAGAUACCCUGGUAGUCCACACAGUAAACGAUGAAUACUCGCUGUUUGCGAUAUACAGUAAGCGGCCAAGCGAAAGCAUUAAGUAUUCCACCUGGGGAGUACGCCGGCAACGGUGAAACUCAAAGGAAUUGACGGGG
rnacentral:rRNA from 1 species